AUGACAUCUCUUCUGUUCCAGCUGGUUUCAGUCUUCCUCCUCCUGCUGGCUCCACUGUUGGCCAGCUGCCAGCAGAUCCGCCGACCGGUGGACUGCAGUGCCAUCUAUCUGCGAGACAAUAGCAAUCCCAGUGGAGUGUACACCAUCUAUCCCGCUGGAAAGAGGUCUGCUGUCAAGGUGUACUGUGACAUGACUUCAGAAGGAGGACGGUGGACGGUGUUCCAGAGGAGGCUGGAUGGCACUUUGAACUUCUACAGGGGCUGGAAUCAAUACAAGGCCGGCUUUGGUAGUGGUACUGGAGAGUACUGGCUCGGUCUUGACAACAUCCACUACCUGACAAACAACAGAAAGAGUGAGCUGCUGGUCGACAUGGAGGACUUUGAGGGGAGAAAAGCGUUCACUCGGUACUCUUCGUUCUCCGUCGGUGAAGGUGACGGAUUUGUGUUGAGUGUGUCUGGACUCAUUAGUGCAGGGGCAGGAGACUCCCUGAGUUAUCACAACGGAAUGAAGUUCACCACCUUUGACAAAGACCAGGACAACUGGUAUGGAAACUGUGCCAGAUAUGCCCUGGGGGCAUUCUGGUUCAACGGCUGUCACCAUGCAAAUCCGAACGGCGUUUAUCGUUGGGGGGCUGACAGCACUGUCUCUUAUGUUGGAGUGGAGUGGGUACAUUUUAAAGGUUAUAACUACUCCCUGAAGACCAUCAGCAUGAAGAUCCGUCCUGUGCUGUAGUUCUCCAGGACCAACGUACAGCAGAAUAUCAGCUCAUCUCUUGUGAUUUCUUUCUCUUUCUCUCAUUAAGCAUUUAAUCUCACAAUAUGUCUUAUUUUCCCGAAACUGGGCACCAGCACAAGAAAACCAACUGAUGUUUGUAAUUCUUGUUACUGUCUGUGGUGGUUUAAAGCAGUCGCAGCUCGCUGCAACAUGGAAGAAAAGUCAAUUGUGUGACCAGUAGCAAGAAAAGUAGGGCCCAUAAUCUUUAAAUGUAAACACAUAUAUAGUCUGAUCGGGUGUAUAUCACUGCAUGAACUGCUAACAUGAUUCUAAAAGAGUCUGUAAAAACUAAAUGAAAAGUAUGAAACCAUCUUUGUAGUUCAGGACAGCCAGUUGAUGUUUGGUGAGGUUUGAAACUCUAAUGUGAAUCUUUAUCUGCUGUACGGUGACAAUAAAUAAGAAGCUGAGCAUUAAGAUGA